AACGAACGCUGGCGGCAUGCCUAACACAUGCAAGUCGAACGAAACCUUCGGGUCUAGUGGCGCACGGGUACGUAACGCGUGGUAACCUGCCCUUAGGUUCGGAAUAACUCCCCGAAAGGUGUGCUAAUACCGGAUAAUGUCUUCGGACCAAAGAUUUAUCGCCUUUGGAUGGGCCCGCGUUGGAUUAGCUAGUUGGUAGGGUAAAAGCCUACCAAGGCGACGAUCCAUAGCUGGUCUGAGAGGAUGAUCAGCCACACUGGGACUGAGACACGGCCCAGACUCCUACGGGAGGCAGCAGUGGGGAAUAUUGGACAAUGGGCGAAAGCCUGAUCCAGCAAUGCCGGGUGAGUGAUGAAGGCCUUAGGGUUGUAAAGCUCUUUUACCCGGGAUGAUAAUGACAGUAACGGGAGAAUAAGCACCGGCUAACUCCGUG
rnacentral:rRNA from 1 species